rnacentral:rRNA from 1 species
CCUACGGGUGGCUGCAGUGAGGAAUAUUGGACAAUGGAUGGAAAUCUGAUCCAGCCAUGCCGCGUGCAGGAAGACGGCCCUAUGGGUUGUAAACUGCUUUUGUAUGGGAGCAAUAAGGGCUACGUGUAGUCCGAUGAGAGUACCAUACGAAUAAGCACCGGCUAACUCCGUGCCAGCAGCCGCGGUAAUACGGAGGGUGCAAGCGUUAUCCGGAUUUAUUGGGUUUAAAGGGUGCGUAGGCGGUUUGAUAAGUCAGCGGUGAAAUAUUUCAGCUUAACUGGAAGGGUGCCGUUGAUACUGUCGAGCUUGAAUUUAGUUGCUGUGGGUGGAAUGUGUGGUGUAGCGGUGAAAUGCAUAGAUAUCACACAGAAUAUCGAUUGCGAAGGCAGCUCACAAAGCUAAUAUUGACGCUGAUGCACGAAAGUGUGGGGAUCAAACAGGAUUAGAUACCCCGGUAGUC